rnacentral:rRNA from 1 species
CCUACGGGAGGCAGCAGUGAGGAAUAUUGGUCAAUGGACGAGAGUCUGAACCAGCCAAGUAGCGUGAAGGAUGACUGCACUGUGGGUUGUAAACUUCUUUUAUAAAGGAAUAAAACGAGGCACGUGUGCCUUUUUGCAUGUACUUUAUGAAUAAGGAUCGGCUAACUCCGUGCCAGCAGCCGCGGUAAUACGGAGGAUACGAGCAUUAUCUGGAUUGAUUGGGUUUAAAGGGAGCGUAGAUGGGUUGUUAAGUCAGUUGUGAAAGUUUGCGGCUCAACCGUAAAAUUGCAAUUGAUACUGGCAGUCUUGAGUACAGUUGAGGUAGGCGGAAUUCGUGGUGGAGCGGUGAAAUGCUUAGAUAUCACGAAGAACCCCGAUUGCGAAGGCAGCUUACUAAACUGUGACUGACAUUGAUGCUCGAAAGUGUGGGUAUCAAACAGGAUUAGAUACCCCUGUAGUC